AACGAACGCUGGCGGCAUGCCUAACACAUGCAAGUCGAACGAAGCCUUCGGGCUUAGUGGCGCACGGGUGCGUAACGCGUGGGAAUCUGCCCCUCGGUUCGGAAUAACAGUUAGAAAUGACCGCCAAUACCGGAUGAUGACGUAAGUCCAAAGAUUUAUCGCCGAAGGAUGAGCCCGCGUAGGAUUAGCUUGUUGGUGAG
rnacentral:rRNA from 1 species